GACGAACGCUGGCGGCAGGCCUAACACAUGCAAGUCGAACGGACCCUUCGGGGUUAGUGGCGGACGGGUGAGUAACACGUGGGAACGUGCCCUUUGGUUCGGAACAACUCAGGGAAACUUGAGCUAAUACCGAAUGUGCCCUUCGGGGGAAAGAUUUAUCGCCAUUGGAGCGGCCCGCGUCUGAUUAGCUAGUUGGUGGGGUAAUGGCCCACCAAGGCUACGAUCAGUAGCUGGUCUGAGAGGAUGAUCAGCCACAUUGGGACUGAGACACGGCCCAAACUCCUACGGGAGGCAGCAGUGGGGAAUCUUGCGCAAUGGGCGAAAGCCUGACGCAGCCAUGCCGCGUGAAUGAUGAAGGUCUUAGGAUUGUAAAAUUCUUUCACCGGGGACGAUAAUGACGGUACCCGGAGAAGAAGCUCCGGCUAACUUCGUGCCAGCAGCCGCAGUAAGAC
rnacentral:rRNA from 1 species